rnacentral:rRNA from 1 species
CCUACGGGGGGCUGCAGUGGGGAAUAUUGGGCAAUGGGCGCAAGCCUGACCCAGCAACGCCGCGUGAAGGAAGAAGGCUUUCGGGUUGUAAACUUCUUUUAUGAGGGACGAAAGAAAUGACGGUACCUCAUGAAUAAGCCACGGCUAACUACGUGCCAGCAGCCGCGGUAAUACGUAGGUGGCAAGCGUUAUCCGGAUUUACUGGGUGUAAAGGGCGUGUAGGCGGGACUGCAAGUCAGAUGUGAAAAUUAUGGGCUCAACCCAUAACCUGCAUUUGAAACUGUAGGUCUUGAGUAUCGGAGAGGCAGGCGGAAUUCCUAGUGUAGCGGUGAAAUGCGUAGAUAUUAGGAGGAACACCAGUGGCGAAGGCGGCCUGCUGGACGACAACUGACGGUGAGGCGCGAAAGCGUGGGGAGCAAACAGGAUUAGAUACCCUAGUAGUC